rnacentral:rRNA from 1 species
UACGGAGGGGGCUAGCGUUGUUCGGAAUUACUGGGCGUAAAGCGCACGUAGGCGGCUUUGUAAGUUAGAGGUGAAAGCCCGGAGCUCAACUCCGGAAUUGCCUUUAAGACUGCAUCGCUCGAAUCAUGGAGAGGUGAGUGGAAUUCCGAGUGUAGAGGUGAAAUUCGUAGAUAUUCGCAAGAACACCAGUGGCGAAGGCGGCUGACUGGUCCGGUUCUGACGCUGAGGCGCGAAAGCGUGGGGAGCAAACAGG